GGGGAUGUGGUCUAGUGGUAUGACAUUUGCCUUGCAAGCAAAAGGCCAUCGGUUCGAUUCCGGUCUUCUCCA